GACGAAGGAUGCAAGCGUUAUCCGGAUUCAUUGGGUUUAAAGGGAGCGUAGGUGGACUUGUAAGUCAGUGGUGAAAUCUUUGGGCUUAACCCAGAAACUGCCAUUGAUACUGCAGGUCUAGAGUACAGUUGCCGUUGGCGGAAUAUGACAUGUAGUGGUGAAAUACUUAGAUAUGUCAUAGAACACCGAUUGCGAAGGCAGCUAACGAAGCUGUAACUGACACUGAGGCUCGAAAGCGUGGGGAUCAAACAGG
rnacentral:rRNA from 1 species